AAAGAGUAAGAGGAAGAAGAACAAUUGAGUGACCUACUACUUUUCUUUACUGGGCGUGAUGCCAUAAUCGAUUUUGAUUCUUUAGGUAAACCAAAAAUAUAAAACUAUUUUGUCUACUGCAAAGAGUUGACCUAUGCUUGUUUUGGUUAAAAAGACACAAAUGAGACAUUUGUGUCUCUUUAACCAAAACCAGCAUAGUUUCAAGCAUAGGCCAACUCUUAGCCGUAACUGUUUUUGGUUUACCUAAGGAAUCGAUUAUGACAUCACACCCAAUAAAGAAAAUUAGUAAGCCGCUCAAUUGUUCUUCUUCCUCUUACUUUUUCUUGGACCAUCUCCUUUAUCAUUUCUAUCACUUCUUUCUUUAGGAACAUUAGCUUCAUUAGCUUCAGCUUGCUAUUUUACAUCACCACUAGUAACAGCAUUUUUCAGCAAAUUAUCAUUAUCAUAUUUACUUUAUUAUGAUGUAUCUUUAUACUUGUUCUCCCAUAGCCGCUCUCUUCAACAUAAACUGUUUCAUCUCCUUCAUUUCCUCCAACAACAACAUAUGAUUUUUUUCCAACUCCUCUAAUUUUGUUUUAUGUUCUUUCUUUAAACUUUCAUAUUUAUUCAAUUUUUCUUCUAUUUUAUCAAUGCAGUGCAAAUACUCUUUUUUCUGAUCAAUAUAUUGCACAUAUUUAACAUCUUAUCCAUCUUCCCAGCUACUGACAAUCUCCCACACAUGACUUGUAAUUUGUAAUCUUAAUUUAAAAGAAAAUGCCAAUAUCAAUUAGAAAAGUUAAAUUAAAAAUAACUCAUUUUAUACUUAAUCAUGUUAAGAUGAAAUUAUACAAAUUUUAAUUCUAUAAUCUGCUACUUAACUUGAUUACUUAAAUAAAUAAACUUUGCAGUUAAUAAAGAUCACAGAAAUUAAAAUUUAUGAAGAAAGCAAUAAAAAAUAACAAAUAGUUUUAGGUUAUCUUGAUGCAUGUCAAGUGAUGUGGAUGAGAGUCAACAUAAUAAGUUGGUUAUCAAAAGAAGCUGUCGAGCAACCUUCAAUGUACGAUAAUUUAAUUACGAGCUUCAACGACUCUUCUGUUGCUUCGACUCCACUCUGCUAGUAUGCUAUUGCUUCGAGGACAUCCGACCGCUAUCGGCAGGCUGACACCAACACACGAGCCCAUUCAGACUCUACAACUUCAAGUGUUGGACCUGAUUUUGGCUCUCCCCGAAGUCACUCGUAGAAAACUAGUUUCUGUUUUGCAUCAAAAUGGGAAAACUUGUUCUCUCAUUGUUGAUAUUUCUAUACUUAGGAAGUAUUUUGAUGAAUUUUGCAAUACAAGUCCAGUAGCUUCAGAUUCUGAGGCCCUUUCUAAAGCUAUAAAACAGGUCAAGAAUGAUAAAGUAAGCUUUAUCUGGACCCACUUUACGAGCUUAUUCUCUUAUUUUCAUAAAGCAAGUUCAGGAUGUUGAAAAGUUACAGUAUCGAGUUGCAGAGGUUAUAUCAUCCCUGACAUGUAAAAAAAAGUCAGCCAGGGCAGCCAUAAGUUAUGGUUUAGUAAGCUCAAAAUUGACUGACAUUUUAUCUGGGAAUAAUGAUAAAGUACAAAAGCUACAGUUAGUUAUUUCUACUGGCCAUGGAGAUACAACUAUUGUCCAAAGAUUAAGGAAAUUGCUUAAAGAGGAUCAUGAGAAAAUAAUCAGCCAGGAAGAAGUUGUGAAAGCCUUGGGAGAACUCCAAGCACAAGUUGAAGUAGCACUUUAUUUUGCUAGCGUCGAACAUUGACUUUGCAUUGUAGUGCUUGUUUUCAAGAAUAUUUUCAAGCAGGAUAUUUGACAGUCCACAAGAUUAGAACCAGUAACAGCUUGCGGCACAUCAUUGUAUGACAUGGUAUGACAUAAUCACUGGAGAGAUCCAUCGUUGUAGCGUUGCCAUAUUUAUACAAAAUGAUACAUACAACUCUGCCUAAGCGGAAGAAAAUCAUUUUUCUAAUUUUAUUCAAUAUUAAUUUUGAUAGUCAAAACACUUUCAUUUUGUAUAUGAACCCUAACGGUAUAACAUGCUGUGUACCCUGAUUAAACUGAGCCCGUCCUAAGACCGAUGAGUAUGUUAUUAGUUUGUCCCAGGAAAUGAAAAGGUUAUUACUCCUGCA